ACGCUGGCGGCAGGCUUAACACAUGCAAGUCGAACGGUAACAGAACUAGCUUGCUAGUUGCUGACGAGUGGCGGACGGGUGAGUAACGCGUAGGAAUCUACCGAGUAGUGGGGGACAACAGUUGGAAACGACUGCUAAUACCGCAUAAUCCCUGAGGGGGAAAGGAGGGGAUCUGUUUACAGACCUUUCGCUAUUUGAUGAGCCUGCGUGAGAUUAGCUAGUUGGUGAGGUAAUGGCUCACCAAGGCGACGAUCUCUAGCUGGUCUGAGAGGAUGAUCAGCCACACUGGAACUGAGACACGGUCCAGACUCCUACGGGAGGCAGCAGUGGGGAAUAUUGCACAAUGGGGGAAACCCUGAUGCAGCCAUGCCGCGUGUGUGAAGAAGGCCUUCGGGUUGUAAAGCACUUUCAGCGAGGAGGAAAGGAGUAUGUUUAAUAAACGUGCUCUGUGACGUUACUCGCAGAAGAAGCACCGGCUAAC
rnacentral:rRNA from 1 species